rnacentral:rRNA from 1 species
GACGAACGCUGGCGGCGUGCUUAACACAUGCAAGUCGAACGAAGUGGCGAACGGGUGAGUAACGCGUAAUCAACCUGCCCUUCAGAGGGGGACAACAGUGGGAAACGAUUGCUAAUACCGCAUACUGAAGGUGGGGAUUGCGUCUGAUUAGCUAGUUGGAGGGGUAACGGCCCACCAAGGCGAUGAUCAGUAGCCGGGCUGAGGGGGUGAACGGCCCAAUUGGGACUGGAACACGGCCCAGACUCCUACGGGAGGCAACAAGGGGGAAUCUUCCGAAAAGGGCGAAAGGCUGACGGAGCAACGCCGCGUGAGGUAUGACGGCCUUCGGGUUGUAAAGCUCUGUUAAUCGGGACGCGGUACCGGAAUAGAAAGCCACGGCUAACUACGUGCCAGCAGCCGCGGUAAUAC